AGCUGCUUCAUACACUGCUCAUGUUGUUGGAAAUAGAUUUGGAAGGCGGAUAACACACUGCCUCGUGCUAUUGGCUGCUGGUUUGUUGUGCAUCAUCCUCAUAUGCUUAACCGCAGCACACUCAACCCAGUGGAUCAUAACUACACUUUCUCUUGUGCUACUCUUCUGCUGUGACUGCUCAUAUUUACUCACAAAUAUACAGAGCUUGGAAUUGCAUCCAACGAGUUUACGACAGAUAGGCAUCGCAAUUGAAUACGUCUUCGUUCAAUGCAGUAUGAGUGUUCCACCUUACGUAGCUCACUUGGGUAAGACUGCUGGAAUGCAUAUCGCUUUCGCCAUACUUGCGGCCGUGACCCUGAU